rnacentral:tRNA from 1 species
GGGAACAUAGUUUAAUUUGGAAAUAGCACCUUGCUAGAUUUAGUCAUAAAUUUUCAGGCUAAGUUGUUUAACCCAAGGAGAGUGCAAGUUCGAGCCUUGCUGUUCCCG